rnacentral:rRNA from 1 species
GAUGAACGCUAGCGAUAGGCCUUACACAUGCAAGUCGAGGGGCAGCACGAGAGCGUAGCAAUACAAUUUUGGUGGCGACCGGCGCACGGGCGAGUAACGCGUAUGCAACCUACCUACUACUUUGGCAUAGCUCGUUGAAAGACGAAUUAAUACCUUAUAAAACAGGGGCUCCGCAUGGAGAUAUUUGUUAAAGAUUUAUCGGUAGUAGAUGGGCAUGCGUUCCAUUAGUUAGUUGGUGACGUAACGGCUCACCAAGACAACGAUGGAUAGGGGAACUGAGAGGUUUGUCCCCCACACUGGAACUGAGACACGGUCCAGACUCCUACGGGAGGCAGCAGUGAGGAAUAUUGGUCAAUGGAGGCAACUCUGAACCAGCCAAGUCGCGUGAAGGAUGACUGCCCUACGGGUUGUAAACUUCUUUUUUAAGGGAAUAAAGUGGGCCACGUGUGGCUUUUUGCAUGUACCUUACGAAUAAGGAUCGGCUAACU